UAGGGAAUCUUGCACAAUGGGCGCAAGCCUGAUGCAGCGAUGCCGCGUGAGGGAUGAAGGCCUUCGGGUCGUAAACCUCUUUCAGCAGGGAAGAAGCCGCGGGACACCGUGGUGACGGUACCUGCAGAAGAAGCCCCGGCUAACUACGUGCCAGCAGCCGCGGUAAAACGUAGGGGGCGAGCGUUGCCCGGAUUCACUGGGCGUAAAGCGGGUGUAGGCGGUUCUCUAAGUCGGAUGUGAAAUCCUACGGCCUAACCGUGGAAUCGCAUCCGAUACUGGGGAACUUGAGGACGGUAGAGGCCGGUGGAAUUCCCGGUGUACCGGUGAAAUGGACAGAUAUCGGGAGGAACACCAGUGGCGAAGGCGGCCGGCUGGGCCGAUCCUGACGCUGAGACCCGAAAGCCAGGGUAGCGAACCG
rnacentral:rRNA from 1 species